rnacentral:tRNA from 3 species
GGUAGGUUGGCUGAGUGGUCUAAGGCACCGAUUUGAUAGUUCGGAGGGGAGUCGCUUCCUCCAAGGGUUCGAAUCCCUUACCUACCGCCA